CGUGGGAACGUACCCUAAACUGAGGGAUAAGCUCCAGAAAUGGAGUCUAAUACCGCAUAGUCUCCUCAAGAGUAAAGCUUUCGAGCGGUUUAGGAGCGGCCUGCGUACGAUUAGUUUGUUGGUGAGGUAAAGGCUCACCAAGGCGAUGAUCGUUAGCUGGUCUGAGAGGAUGAUCAGCCAGACUGGGACUGAGACACGGCCCAGACCCCUACGGGGGGCAGCAACUAGGAAUCUUUCACAAUGGGCGAAAGCCUGAUGGAGCAACGCCGCGUGCAGGAGGAAGGCCUUCGGGUCGUAAACUGCUUUUAUAUGUGACGAUUAUGACGGUAGCAUAUGAAUAAGGAUCGGCUAAUUCCGUGCCAGCAGCCGCGGUCAUACGGGAGAUCCAAGCGUUAUCCGGAAUUACUGGGCGUAAAGAGUUGCGUAGGUGGCUAAGUAAGCGAAGCAUGAAAUCUUAUGGCUCAACUAUAAGGCUAUGCUUUGAACUGCUUUGGCUUGAGAUCGAGAGAGGUAGAUGGAAUUCCCAGUGUAGGGGUGAAAUCCGUAGAUAUUGGGAAGAACACCGAUGGC
rnacentral:rRNA from 1 species